UUCGGGUGUUUUGGGGUGUUUUUGGGGUGAUUUUGGGUGUUUUUGGUGGUCCCGAGUGUCUCCGACUGACAUUUCGGGUGUUUCUGGAGUGUUUUGGGUGUUUUUGGUGUGAUUUUGGGUGUUUUUGGUGGUCCCGAGUGUCUCCGACUGACAUUUCAGGCUGUUUUGGGGUGAUUUUGGGUGUUUUUGGGGUUCCCGAGUGUCUCCGACUGACAUUUCGGGUGUUUCUGGGGUUGUUUUGGGUGUUUUGGGGUGUUUUGGGGUGUUUUUGGGUGUUUUUGCAUGUCCCGAGUGUCUCCGACUGACAUUUGGGUGUUUUUGGGGUGUUUUUGGGGGUAUUUGGUGUGGUUUUUGGGGUUCCCGAGUGUCUCUGACUGACAUUUCGGGUGUUUUUGGGGUGAUUUUGGGUGUUUUUGGGGUUCCCGAGUGUCUCCGACUGACAUUUCGGGUGUUUUUGGGGUGUUUUUGGGGUGAUUUUGGGGGUAUUUGGUGUGGUUUUUGGGGUUCCCGGGUGUCUCCGACUGACAUUUCAGGUGUUUCGGGGUGUUUGGGUGUUUUGCAGCGUUCACUCCAGCCUGCAGUGCUGGGGCUGUUCCUGGGGGACAUUUCGGGUGUUUCUGGGGUUGUUUUGGGGUGUUUUUGGGGUAUUUGGUGUGGUUUUUGGGGUUCCCGAGUGUCUCUGACUGACAUUUCAGGCUGUUUUUGGGUUGUUUUGGGUGUUUUUGGGGUGAUUUCGGGUGUUUUGGGUGUUUUGCAGCGUUCACUCCAGCCCGCAGUGCCGGGGCUGUUCCUGGGGCACAUUUCGGGUGUUUUUGGGGUGUUUUGGGGUGUUUUUGGGGGUUUUUGGGGUUCCCGGGUGUCUCCGACUGACAUUUCAGGCUGUUUCGGGUGUUUUUUGGGUGUUUUUGGGGUGAUUUUGGGUGUUUUUGGGUGUCCUGAGUGUCUCCGAGUGACAUUUCGGGUGUUUUUGGGGUGUUUUGGGGUGAUUUUGGGGUGAUUUGGGGUGUUUUUUGUGGUCCCGAGUGUCUCUGAUUGACAUUUCGGGUGUUUCUGGGGUUGUUUUGGGUGUUUUUGGGGUGUUUUUGGGGUGAUUUUGGGUGUUUUUGGGGUUCCCGAGUGUCUCCGACUGACAUUUCAGGCUGUUUUGGGGUGUUUUGGGGUGUUUUUGGGGUGAUUUUGGGUGUUUUUGGGUGUCCCGAGUGUCUCCGACUGACAUUUCGGGUGUUUUUCGGGUGUUUUGGGUGUUUUCCAGCGUUCACUCCAGCCCGCAGUGCCGGGGCUGUUCCUGGAGAACAUUUCGGGUGUUUCUGGGGUGUUUUUGGGGUGAUUUUGGGUGUUUUUGGGGUUCCCGAGUGUCUCUGACUGACAUUUCAGGCUGUUUUGGGGUGUUUUGGGGUGAUUUUGGGUGUUUUGGGUGGUCCCGAGUGUCUCCGACUGACAUUUGGGGUGUUUCUGGGGUUGUUUCGGGGUGUUAUGGGGUGUUUUUGGGGUGAUUUUGGGUGUUUUGCGGGUGUUUUUUGGGUGUUUUUGGGGUUCCCGGGUGUCUCCGACUGACAUUUCAGGCUGUUUUGGGGUGUUUUCGGGUGUUUUUGGGGUGAUUUUGGGUGUUUUUUGGUGUCCCGAGUGUCUCCGACUGACAUUUGGGUGUUUUUGGGGUGUUUUUGG
ensembl:lncRNA